GCAUGCACCUGUAGUCCCAGCUACUAAGGAGGCCGAAGCAGAAGGAUCACCUGAGGCCAGAAGUUCUGGGCUGUAGUGUGCUAUGCCGAUUGAGUAUCCAUAUUAAGUUCAGCAUUAAUAUGGUGACCUAACGGAGGGGUGAACCUGCCCAGGUCAGAAAUGGAGCAGGUCAAAAGACUUGUGCUGAUCAGUAGUGGGACUGUACUUAUGAAUAGCCAAGGCACUCCAGCCUGGGCAACAUAGUGAGACUUCGUCUUUA
ensembl:misc_RNA Metazoa_SRP Metazoan signal recognition particle RNA